rnacentral:rRNA from 1 species
GGGGAAUAUUGCGCAAUGGGGGAAACCCUGACGCAGCAACGCCGCGUGAAGGAUGAAGGCUUUCGGGUUGUAAACUUCUUUGAUCGGGGACGAAAAUGACGGUACCCGAGGAACAAGCCACGGCUAACUACGUGCCAGCAGCCGCGGUAAUACGUAGGUGGCAAGCGUUGUCCGGAAUUACUGGGUGUAAAGGGCGUGUAGGCGGGACGGCAAGUCAGAUGUGAAAUACCUCGGCUUAACUGGGGUGCUGCAACUGAAACUGUCGUUCUUGAGUGUCGGAGAGGAAAGUGGAAUUCCCAGUGUAGCGGUGAAAUGCGUAGAGAUUGGGAGGAACACCAGUGGCGAAGGCGGCUUUCUGGACGAUAACUGACGCUGAGGCGCGAAAGCGUGGGUAGCAAAC